rnacentral:misc_RNA from 1 species
UCAAACUUGGUCAUUUAGAGGAAGUAAAAGUCGUAACAAGGUUUCCGUAGGUGAACCUGCGGAAGGAUCAUUAACGAGGUUGUGUGAUAAGUGAGUGUUGGUUGGCGCAAGCUGGCGUACACGAACGGGGUUCCCGCAAGGGAACCUUUUGCGUGUGGUGGUAUGGGUGAGUAUUGUAGUGAGCAUUAUGUUUGCUGUGAUGCGCAUUCUGACCCUGCACGCGAAAUUGACUAGCGUAUUGACUGAAAUAAAAACAACGAAAACAACUUUUAACAAUGGAUCUCUUGGCUCUUGCAUCGAUGAAGAACGCAGC